UUAAUGAAUAGAAGGAAUAGUUAAAGUUGAUUUGCAAUUAACUAAUAUGAAAAUUUCAUACUAGAGAU
rnacentral:tRNA from 1 species